rnacentral:rRNA from 1 species
ACGGGUUAAUAUUCCCGUACUUCUUACAAUUGCGAUGGGGGGACGGAGAAGGCUAGGUGGGCCUGGCGACGGUUGUCCAGGUUCAAGUACGUAGGCGGAUGGUUUAGGUAAAUCCGGACCAUUACUAACGCUGAGAUACGAUGUCGAGCUACUACGGUAGUGAAGUCAUUGAUGCCAUGCUUCCAGGAAAAGCCUCUAAGCUUCAGAUUGUAAGGAAUCG